AAUUUUUGAUGACUCUCGGCAACGGAUAUCUUGGCUCUUGCAUCGAUGAAGAACGCAGCGAAAUGCGAUAAGUGGUGUGAAUUGCAGAAUCCCGUGAACCAUCGAGUCUUUGAACGCAAGUUGCGCCCGAGGCCAUCAGGCUAAGGGCACGCCUGCUUGGGCGUCG
rnacentral:rRNA from 1 species